GAUGAACGCUGGCGGCGUGCCUAAUACAUGCAAGUCGAGCGAACGGAUGAGAAGCUUGCUUCUCUGAUGUUAGCGGCGGACGGGUGAGUAACACGUGGAUAACCUACCUAUAAGACUGGGAUAACUUCGGGAAACCGGAGCUAAUACCGGAUAAUAUUUUGAACCGCAUGGUUCAAAAGUGAAAGACGGUCUUGCUGUCACUUAUAGAUGGAUCCGCGCUGCAUUAGCUAGUUGGUAAGGUAACGGCUUACCAAGGCAACGAUGCAUAGCCGACGCAAGAGGUGGGUAGGCGCCCCCAGGAAGUGACACCCUACCCAGGCCCCGAGGGGAGGCCGAAGUAGGGAAUCUCGCGAAAAGGGGGAAACAGUGCAGAAGAGACGGCGGGGUAGGGAAGAAGGGCUGCGGGCCGUAAAACGUUUUUUUUGGGGAAAACCAAGUUUGUAAGUAACGGUGCCCAAUUGGCGGGAACUGAUAAAGAAACCCCGGCCAAAUAAGUG
rnacentral:rRNA from 1 species